GUUUAGCGGGCUCUGGAAAUCAGAUUUCCUGAUCUCCUGAUUUCCCCAGCAGGGCUCUUUCCAGUGUAUCAAAAGGGCUACUGUUUAACUCCCACUAUGGUCUUGGCCUUAUCUCCAAUCCAACAAAUAGAAGAAUGCUAACUAGGAUCUCGGUACAUAAUUCAACACCAUCUGACUAGUGAUCUCCUGGGGUUCUCUGAUGCCUUGUCUGUCUCCUGGACCUUCCGAUGGAAUAGGGAGACUAAAUAAUUCCAUGCGAAUGAAGAAAAUGGAAAUCGGUUCCACGGUGGUCUCAACAAUGCUGAUGGAUUUUCGUAGCAUUUUUCGAGCCUUUCUGAUUCACUCAGCCUCGGUGGUGUGGACCCACUGUCA